AGCGAACGCUGGCGGCAGGCCUAACACAUGCAAGUCGAACGAAGUCUUCGGACUUAGUGGCGGACGGGUGAGUAACACGUGGGAACGUGCCUUUAGGUUCGGAAUAACUCAGGGAAACUUGUGCUAAUACCGAAUGUGCCCUUCGGGGGAAAGAUUUAUCACCUUUAGAGCGGCCCGCGUCUGAUUAGCUAGUUGGUGAGGUAAAGGCUCACCAAGGCGACGAUCAGUAGCUGGUCUGAGAGGAUGAUCAGCCACAUUGGGACUGAGACACGGCCCAAACUCCUACGGGAGGCAGCAGUGGGGAAUCUUGCGCAAUGGGCGAAAGCCUGACGCAGCCAUGCCGCGUGAAUGAUGAAGGUCUUAGGAUUGUAAAAUUCUUUCACCGGGGACGAUAAUGACGGUACCCGGAGAAGAAGCCCCGGCUAACUUCGUGCCAGCCGCCGCCGUAAAAC
rnacentral:rRNA from 1 species